GGGCUUUCUUUGGCAGCACAUAUACUAAAAUUCAAACGAUAACAGAUUAGCAUGACCCUGUGCAAGGAUGAUAUACAAAUCUGUAAAGCAUUCCACUGGUCA